rnacentral:pre_miRNA from 1 species
AGCCUCACAAAGUGGUUGUGAAAUGCUUAAAUUAACUUUUUAUAGUUCUUUUAAAACUUUAAAAAAUUGCAUAUCACAGCCAGCUUUGAUGAGCUUAG